rnacentral:lncRNA from 1 species
AUCAAAACCCUAAAGUAUGAAUUCUUUUUAGAAUAAAAUCGGGAAAAAAUAAACAAAUUACUAUAAUAAAUGGACAGUAAAAAGUUUUUACUUUUAGUCCUUAAAAAAAAUCCAAAUUUUAAAAACUUAAAAAGAAAAAAAAAUCUUUGCCCGUGCUUGAUUUGUCUUAUUAGCCAUUUUUUACUAUAAAAAAAAUCCCCUCAAAUCCUUCUUUAUCUUUCUCCCUCUUCAUAUCUAUUGGUUUAAGACUAAAUAAUUAUACUGUCAUUGUUAUUAUUUUUUUUAUAGAAUUCCUAAAAUU